UGGGGAAUUUUGGACAAUGGGCGCAAGCCUGAUCCAGCCAUGCCGCGUGCGGGAAGAAGGCCUUCGGGUUGUAAACCGCUUUGUCAGGGAAGAAAAGGUUCUGGCUAAUACCUGGGACUCAUGACGGUACCUGAAGAAUAAGCACCGGCUAACUACGUGCCAGCAGCCGCGGUAAUACGUAGGGUGCAAGCGUUAAUCGGAAUUACUGGGCGUAAAGCGUGCGCAGGCGGUUAUGCAAGACAGAGGUGAAAUCCCCGGGCUCAACCUGGGAACUGCCUUUGUGACUGCAUGGCUAGAGUACGGUAGAGGGGGAUGGAAUUCCGCGUGUAGCAGUGAAAUGCGUAGAUAUGCGGAGGAACACCGAUGGCGAAGGCAAUCCCCUGGACCUGUACUGACGCUCAUGCACGAAAGCGUGGGGAGCAAACAGGAUUAGAUACCCUGGUAGUCCACGCCCUAAACGAUGUCAACUGGUUGUUGGGAGGGUUUCUCUCAGUAACG
rnacentral:rRNA from 1 species